UACAGAGGGUGCGAGCGUUGUCCGGAAUCACUGGGCGUAAAGGGCGCGUAGGCGGCCUGAUAAGUAGGGGGUGAAAUCCUGUGGCUUAACUGCAGGGCUGCCUCCUAGACUGUUAGGCUCGAGCACGGUAGAGGCAGAUGGAAUUCCCGGUGUAGCGGUGGAAUGCGUAGAGAUCGGGAAGAACAUCGGUGGCGAAGGCGGCAUCCUGGACCGGUAUUGACGCUGAGGCGCGAAAGCCAGGGGAGCAAACGGG
rnacentral:rRNA from 1 species